UUUUCUAUCUCUCUGCUAAAAUUCGAUUUCACAAUUAUUAAAAAAAUCAUUGAAAUGGCGCUAUUCAGCAUCGUUGAGGCUUUUGUGCUCGUUGUUGUUCUGUUUGCCGUUGCGAGUUCAGCACAGGAGGUUGGUUUAGCUCCAGCUCCGUCUCCAGAUGCCGGAGCUGGAUGCUCUGUGGCGAUUUCCGGUGUGUUGAUCGGAACCUCUCUGAUUUGCUCUGUGUUUGCUUUGUUGAGGAAUUGAAACUCCACAGGCUAUGGAUUUUUUUGAUUUUUUUUUCUUUCAAUUUUAUGUUUGGUGUGAUUGGAUUUGG
rnacentral:misc_RNA from 1 species